CUUUACGGCAGUUGUGCGCGGGAGGCCUUCGGGCCUGUCGGUUUUCCAUUCCCGGCUCGCCAACCCGCGUACAGCUGCCACCUUU
rnacentral:antisense_RNA from 1 species